rnacentral:ncRNA from 1 species
ACUACGGCCCUUUUAAGGGCCACCAAAAUCAUUUCAGAAAGAUUCU